CGGGUGGUAAUGCCGGAUGCUCCAGUUGAUCGCAUGGUCUUCUGGGAAAGCUUUCGCGGUAUGGGAUGGGGUCGCGUCCUAUCAGCUUGACGGCGGGGUAACGGCCCACCGUGGCUUCGACGGGUAGCCGGCCUGAGAGGGCGACCGGCCACAUUGGGACUGAGAUACGGCCCAGACUCCUACGGGAGGCAGCAGUGGGGAAUAUUGCACAAUGGGCGCAAGCCUGAUGCAGCGACGCCGCGUGAGGGAUGGAGGCCUUCGGGUUGUAAACCUCUUUUAUCGGGGAGCAAGCGAGAGUGAGUUUACCCGUUGAAUAAGCACCGGCUAACUACGUGCCAGCAGCCGCGGUAAUACGUAGGGUGCAAGCGUUAUCCGGAAUUAUUGGGCGUAAAGGGCUCGUAGGCGGUUCGUCGCGUCCGGUGUGAAAGUCCAUCGCUUAACGGUGGAUCCGCGCCGGGUACGGGCGGGCUUGAGUGCGGUAGGGGAGACUGGAAUUCCCGGUGUAACGGUGGAAUGUGUAGAUAUCGAAAAAAAAACACC
rnacentral:rRNA from 1 species